rnacentral:lncRNA from 1 species
GGCACGGGGGCGUGCCAUUAUGUCCCUGGCACGGUACGGCACAGGCAUGCUUGCGUGCCGACACGUGGCACGCUUGCGUGCCGAUAAAUACGCAUGAUCUCCUACUGGCACGCUUUGGCACAGACUUAUUUAAGUUUUUUUAGUUCCAAUAAACUCUUAUAAUGUUAUUUUGACUGAUUUAAAUAAAUAAUUAUGAAUAUUUAUUAUGUAUACUUUACUAUACUCAUCAAUUAAUAUACAUGUAAGCUUUUUGUAAGUAAAAUAUGACUAUACUUGAUAUAGAAUAGAAAUUAAAAUACAAUAAUAAAAUCUACAAGUAUAAUAAUUAUUUAAAUUUACAUCUUUACAUAGAGAUGACUGUUUAAUUCGACAUAAAUCGUCGCGCUUGAUCAUAUGGCAUAUUAUCAUCUGCAGAUACAAGAUUUAUUUUGAAAAUGUUGAUAUAAGUAUUGCUGGUAUUUGUGAGAAAGUUAUAUAUUCCCGAUAUUACAUCCAUAUUUUUUUAUUUUGUUAUUCUUUUUAAAAAUAUCUGAUCAAAAUUUGUUUAGGAGAUUGAUUUUUGUUAUCUUGAUUCACCAAAAGCUUCGCGGUGCGACAAUUUUUGACAAAAUAUUUUGCGAAGAAAAAAUAGAUGUCUGUGGAGGAAGCGGAGGGCUCAGGCCGAAAGGCCCGAGUCCGUAGCCCACCACUGACAUCUGAGGGGGGUG